GUGGUUGUGGGUCGCGACCGUCUCCUUUGGGUCGAAAGCGGUCCAAGCCAAGAUUGUGAUUCCUGUUGUCGUGGGUUCGAGCCCCAUCAGCCACCCCA
rnacentral:tRNA from 1 species